rnacentral:rRNA from 1 species
CAUGCAAGUCGAGCGCCCGGGCAACCGGGAGCGGCAGACGGGUGAGUAACACGUGGGAACAUGCCCUUCGGUUCGGAAUAACUCAGGGAAACUUGAGCUAAUACCGGAUACGUCCGUAAGGAGAAAGAUUUAUCGCCGAAGGAUUGGCCCGCGUCUGAUUAGCUAGUUGGUGGGGUAAUGGCCCACCAAGGCUACGAUCAGUAGCUGGUCUGAGAGGAUGAUCAGCCACACUGGGACUGAGACACGGCCCAGACUCCUACGGGAGGCAGCAGUGGGGAAUAUUGGACAAUGGGCGAAAGCCUGAUGCAGCGACGCCACGUGAGGGAUGACGGCCUUCGGGUUGUAAACCUCUUUCAGCAGGGAAGAAGCGAAAGUGACGGUACCUGCAGAAGAAGCGCCGGCUAACUACGUGCCAGCAGCCGCGGUAAUACGUAGGGCGCAAGCGUUGUCCGGAAUUAUUGGGCGUAAAGAGCUCGUAGGCGGUCUGUCGCGUCCGGUGUGAAAUCCCAUGGCUCAACUGUGGGCUUGCAUCGGGUACGGGCAGACUAGAGUGCUGUAGGGGAGACUGGAAUUCCUGGUGUAGCGGUGGAAUGCGCAGAUAUCAGGAGGAACACCGAUGGCGAAAGCAGGUCUCUGGGCAGUUACUGACGCUGA